GACGAACGCUGGCGGCGUGCUUAACACAUGCAAGUCGAACGGAAAGGCCCUGCUUUUGUGGGGUGCUCGAGUGGCGAACGGGUGAGUAACACGCGAGUAACCUGCCCUUGACUUUGGGAUAACUUCAGGAAACUGGGGCUAAUAUCGGAUAGGAUCUCCUGCUGCAUGGUGGGGGUUGGAAAGUUUCGGCGGUUGGGGCUGGACUCGCUGCUUAUCCGCUUGUUGGUGGGGUAGUGGCUUACCAAGGCUUUGACGGGUAGCCGGCCUGAGAGGGUGACCGGCCACAUUGGGACUGAGAGACGGACCAGACUGCUACGGGAGGCAGCGGUGGAGAAUAUUGCAGAAUGGGCGGGAGCCUGAUGCAGCAACGCCGCGUGCGGAAUGACGGCCUUCGGGUUGUAAACCGCUUUCGCAGGUGACGAAGCGUGAGUGACGGUAAUGGGUAAGGAAGCAACGGCUAACUACGUG
rnacentral:rRNA from 1 species